rnacentral:rRNA from 1 species
UACGGAGGAUGCAAGCGUUAUCCGGAUUUAUUGGGUUUAAAGGGUGCGUAGGCGGCUCUUUAAGUCAGUGGUGAAAUCCUGCCGCUUAACGGUAGAAUUGCCAUUGAUACUGAAGAGCUUGAGUUCAGUUGAGGUAGGCGGAAUGUGUAGUGUAGCGGUGAAAUGCUUAGAUAUUACACAGAACACCGAUUGCGAAGGCAGCUUACUAAACUGUUACUGACGCUGAUGCACGAAAGCGUGGGGAU